UUUUUCUGGCUCUCUCCCUCCACCAGCUCCUCUGCUCUCCCUCGCUCCGAUCUGGAGAACUCCUCCGAGAGGUGGAGCCGCCGCCCCCAACCUCUCUCUCCGGCUUCGAUCCGCUGCCGCUCCGAUCCUCACCCCCACCGUCGGCGACCCUCACCUAGUCCGGCCCCAGAUCGAGCAGGCGCUCCCAGUCCGGCGACGGCCGUGCCCACGCCGAUCUGGACCACGAUUCCUCACGCAGACCCGGCGAACCCACCCACCAAGCACACGCAGCGCCCGCCUGCUCCCACCCCUGCGUUCUUGGCUUCUGCGGGCUCUGAUCGUUUGCAUUGGUGGUUGUUGCUGCAGGUUGGCGGCCAGCGGCAGGAUGAAGGCCAAGGCAGGCUCCCGCACCGGCGACUCCCUUGCUGCUGGCGGCAGGAUGAAGGCCAAGGCAGGCUCCCGCACUGGCGACUCCGUUGCUGCUGGCGGUUGGAUGAAGGCCAAGGCUCGCGGUGAAGAAGAGCAAGGCCGACAAGGACCCCAACAAUCCCAAGCGCCCCCCGAGCGCCUCUUCGUCUUCGCAGGGACACCUUCAGGAAGGAGUACAAGGAGAAGCACCCGACGUCAUGCAGGUCUCUGUGAUUGGCAAGGCCGGUGGUGAGAAGUGGAAGUCCCAAGUGAUGUUGCUCGAAGGAGGCAGUAUGCAAGGCACCUCCUGAUGGAUAUUGCUUGCUGGCUUCUGCUUUUUGAAUGCUUGUAUUGCCGCUGCUUGUGCCGCUAUUCCAAAAGUUAUGUAUUUGUGAACAUAGGAGAUAAGUUAUUGAUAUGUGUUGGUCUGUCUAAUGUUAUGCGAGAUAAAGUUGUGUGAGAAAGUUUUCUAUACUUGUGUUAUUACUGUGGGAAAGAAGUACUGUUACUAUACUGAUUCGAGAAUAUUGCCUGUAAAUAAAAGAGGGCUUGGCCCACUGUUGGAUUGUAAAAAGGCCAUGUCCAGAAUUUA